GGCUGCAGGCAGGCGCUCAACUACUGAGCCGCCUGGGUGCCCCCGCCCCCCAACAUGUAUUCCUUAAGAGCCUUUUAGUUUCUGAUGUGGGCAAAAUAUGGUUUUAGUUCUCUUUUAAUUUCUAGAUGCCCCAUUCCCACACCCGUCCCACUCGGGGGUUCUCAGGGCCUCGGUCCCCAUGGGAGCCCGAGGAGGAAGCCGCCAACACCAGCAAGGGUCUGGAAGGCUGCAGCGCCGGGACCACUGUGUCCCACAUCACAUGCUGGGAAACUCGUGUGCCCCGGUUUAGAAAGUGCUGCUAUGGCAUUCCCUGCAGUCUAUGUUGCUAGGAGAGGAUGGAUUCAGAAGCUGUGGGCUUUCCCGCCUUUCGAGCAGCCCCUGUCAACACCUCCUAAAUAACCAGUGGUAAACUGCUUGUCAAAAUGAUGGAGAGCCGCUUGCUUCCUGUUUCCUUCUCAAGGGCACAAACUCUCACCUCAUCACCAGGCUAGCAGGUCCUUUGUCCAGGCAUCGUAUGGCUACAGAACUAGUGGCAUUCACAGCCAAGCAGCAGAUUGUCGAUGGAUUUGGAUAAGUCACAAUACAGGCACGAGCAAAGCUGCUUUAAAGACAAUAUUUCAAGGAGAAAGCAGCAUAUGGGAAAUGCAAUCCUAUCCAUAAUUAGCAAUUAUUUAGUAAGGUGGCUUUUCCCCCUCAUUUGAUUGAAGAGCCACUCAAAUCAUGUUUUAAUUUCCAGUGCAUUUGGGGGAGGAGCAAAACGUUCAAAAUAUUACUUUAUGAAGAGACAUAAAAUUAGUCAAAAAUGGAUAAUGUGUAUAUAAAGCAUCAACGUCAACAAACACUGCUAAAUCACACGGUGAACGUGAACGAGAGCCGUAAAAAGGCGCUUGAUAGGGAUAUGGAUCCAGAUACGUUUUUUUGUUUGUUUGUUUGCAAAUUCUUACCUGUCAGUAAGUGGGAUGACAAUAAAAUCUAC